rnacentral:antisense_RNA from 1 species
CUUGAGUGAACCCAGCCAGAGAGGCCGCCCCUCGGGACGACCGCGACCGUAGGUGUCGAUCAGGGCCUGUGCCUC